AUGGUUUGGUUAAAUAAAAAAAAAUAAAAAUAAAUAAAAAUAAAAAUCUGUUCUUAUCAGUUUAAUAUCUGAUACGUCCCCCAUCGGGGGACUACAUAUUAAAUGGAUUUUUCGAACAGGGAGUCGGAAAUGGGGCUUGCUCCGUCCGCUCCACGCAUCGACCCGGUAUUGCAGUACCUCCGGGAACGGUGCAACACUU
rnacentral:snRNA from 8 species